UUUGAUUGAAAGUGAAAUUUUUGCCAUGACAUUUUCAUUUUUGACAAAAGCCAUUUUUUGGCAACAUUACUUUUCAAUGAAAAAGCUUUGUCAUGCUCUAAAUAACCCUAACUAACCCCAGAUCUUCCAUGGGACAAUUAACGAAGAGGCGGGAUACAGCCAAAUGAAAGCAGUCAACCCCCCAUGGCAAGUCUGGCCUCACUCAUUUUUGCUUGACUGAGGAAAAUCUGGGAUUACCGGAGAAUUCCCUCCACUACAAGAAUCACUGGGUGAGGUUCUCUGAUCUCUGUAAUGUAGGAGGUCAGGCUAGAUGAUCAUAUUAUCUCUGAAUCCAUGAAGAAUGUGUCAAAUAGAUAGUAAUUCAAAAAGAAAAUGCAGAAUUUCUUAUGCAUUGUAGCAGGGCAUGGUCCUUCCUGACUGGGGCUUUUCCAGGCUUCACAGUUCCCAGGCCUCCACAGUUCCUCCUGCUGGGGCCUGAGCGCCUUCCUGCCUCCCUGGGUUCUGGGCACUUCUGCAGCUUGCAGAGCCGGCCAUCCCUUCUCCAAAGGCCGGGUUUUUGCAUCAGCAGGGGUGGGGAAUUACAUUCACUUCCUCAGGCAAUCCACGCAACACUGUCUACCCUAAAAGUCCAUUCACGUCUGGCCCAUUGUUCAGUACAGUCCUCUGAAGUUCAUAACAUUUCCCAGUGGUCACAUCCCAUCAACCCCCUACAAAGAGGGGUUACAUUAAAUCUCGACACACAGUAAAAUGUAACCUUUGCAUUUAAUACAAUGGACCCCAAAGAUGCUUAAAUUUAAUUAGGUAAGGUUUUUCAAGGCUAUUGCAAGAAAUUGCCAUACUGGUCACAGUGACAAUGAUGAUAAUAUUAACAAUAACCAUCUUACAUUUGCUUCUUAAUGUCCUGUUCCAAGGAACCCUCCAUUUCUUUGCCUUCUUUCAGAACCUGAAAUCAAAGAGCAAGUCAGCAGCAGUGAACCUUCCCCCUUCACUGGACAGCUAAUGGCCUCCGGUGGGCACAGAGACAAGCCAAGUAAACCUCUCCUGCCUUCCCUGCCCUGGCCAGCAGCUUUGGGCUUCUCUGUGAAAUAUUCCAGUCUUAGGUGGGUCAGCAGCUGUACCCUCACCACCCCCAUUGCACUGCGGGGGUGACUGAUGCGGCUGUGGGACCCGUUCAAGGUUGCACAUUCAGCCCGCGACAGAUCCCGGAACGAAACGCACCUUUCCUCACGUCCCAGCCUGGCGUUGCACCCAGACCUGCCCUGGCAUUACAGCAGUGCAGUGCCAGGACUCUCUGCCAGGGGUAGCUCAGGUGGUAGAGACAGCCGCAUUCCCAGUGGGGAGCUAUCCAGAGGGGCCUUGUGUGUGGAGGGGAACUGCCGGAUCUCGUUGUGGGCCAGGAGGGUGGUGGACCAGGGGAACAUGGAAUAACUGUGACACUGGGUAUGUUGGGUUAUUUUAUGUUAGGGAGUCAGGGCAGUGGAAUAUGCACCACUGUGUAAGGACCAGAUUGGGUUGGGAGGAGUCCCUGCACAGCAGAGGUAACUGGGAUGCCUUCCCACCCCAUCUCUGCCAGUGGGCAGCGAGUGAUGCCCUGUUGCAGGCCAGCAGCGUGUUUCCCUCACACCAGCAGCCCCAGGGCUCGCAGCAGAGAAACGCAGUCUUCUCACAGCUCAGCCAGUACACACUCUGCCUCUUGGAGUGGGCAGCCGGGACUCCUUCAGCUCCGAUCUGGAAGGAGCUGCCGUUGCUGCAUGAAGGCCGGGGCGAUGCAGCCUGCAGUGACAGUCAUUUCAUACUUGUGCAGUACUUUCAUCAGGUCAGAGCAAGGCCUUAGCAAGGUACCUGCCAACACCAAAGUCACUAGCAAGGCUCAGGCCAGGCCUCGCAGCCACUUUCACACACUCCUGCCAUGGAGCAGAAGGGGGGACUCUCCAGCUGGCCUCAGUGCUGGCCUGGCGCACCAGGAUAUUUGUCUCGGUAGCAAAGCAAAUCUGAUGAACCAAUUCAGCAUCCUAUGCUUGUCCAUGGGCACAAACCCCGGGUACUUCUCCUCAAGGGCACCAGCUGCGCUGUGUGAGCGAGAGGGGCCAGGCACCAGCUGCAUCUGUCCACGCUGAGGGGAAUGAUGAGCUGUAUAAGGCAGGAGUGCCGCUAGCAUUCAGACCAGCACGUGCUGGGGCAGAGCCAGGCCUCACGAGGCCCUGUGAGCAGCCUGUGACAAGCGCUGGUUUGGUAUUAAGUAGAAGGGCAACUGGCACAUUCCCAUGCUCUCAGCCUGGCGCAGAGCCUACAGUCGCUCCACAGUGGUGGUGAAUAGCCCUGCUCCCACUGCCUGCUGCUGGGGUGAGUUGAGGUGAGGAGCUAGCGCAUCCCCUGCAUCCUUCCUGGACUGCGGCACAUGAAGCGAGAGGGUCCCAAUGCAUUGGCUGCACCCACCUUCUCUCUGCGCCCCUCCCCCAGACGCCCAUCCCCUGUCCCCAUGACUCACUAUCCCAACGAGCCCUCUGAACCCCAUGACCCCUCCAUAGAGCUCCCUUGCUCCCUUCUCUCUGCGCCCUCCAAUGAGCAGCCACCCUAUCCUGCACCCCACACCUCCUUUCGCGGGGCAUGGCAGCUUUGCAGGCCCCUGACUGCUCCUGCUCCAAGCGCAUACUGGGCUGCAGCCCCAGAACCUCUCUCCUUCAACUCACCAGCUAGCGGGGCCUGCAGAAUGCUUGCUGUGGGAAACUGGGCCCAGCAGUAGGUCCGUGGCACAGGGAACGGGGUGGAGGUGAUUACUAAAAGGCCUGGAGCAGGGAGGUUCGGGUGGCACUGGGCAUCACAGACCUUUGGAGGUGUAUCUGAGCCAAACCUCCAGCUGUGCAGUAGUUAGCCCUCGUCCUGCCUCCCAUUCUCCUGGGAUGGGCACUCAUUUUGGAGGGGAGGAACCUUCUGAGAGCCAAAAUAGCUGGCCAUUUGCAAGUCUGAUUACAAACUCAACCCUGAGCCCUCCCAAUGGGCAGUAUCUUCCAGAGCAGGAGAAGUCAUUGGGAAGAGUUUUCUUUCUCCUCCUUUCAGUAAGGAAAUAAAAUAGCUGGGGUACAAUUUCCAAACGUGCCUAAGUGCACACAUAUGACUUGCUAUGACACUCCGGCUCCAAAGUGCCUUUUGAAAAAUGAGACUUGAUGUUCCUAAGUCAGUUAGGUGCUUUUGAAAAUGUUCCCCUUGAUCUCAUCCGCAGAGGAUCCUCUCCUCCGUGGCCUCAGGGAUCUGUGUCCCCUCCAGAGAUUUGCAUUAUUUGGGGUGUCGUUGUUUCCACUGGCCAAUGAGGUGACUUUCUGGUCUCUGAGCUCAUUGGCAGCUGGGCUUUUGUGGGAAAAAGAAAUGAUGUCUCUGCUGGAGGCCUCAGGGUCCUGCCAUACCCGUCCCAGGAAAGGAGCAAUAGAGGAGUCUUCCAGGCAGCCUAGAGUGGCUGUAGGGGAAGCAGCCAAUCAGAGCCCAGGAGGGCCAUAUAAAAAGGAGCUGCAGUGCAGUGCAUAGGCAGUUUCUUGCUGGAGCUAGUGGAGUGCAGAUGGUGCUCCUGGCUGGCCAAAGGGAACUGCAGUACCAGGGACAGCUCAGUUCUGGCAGGGACCGGGGGUAUGGGAAACAAGACCUCCUGGCUGGCUGCUGGGCUUGACACAUAAGAGCCCUGAGAGUUGAAUUGAGGAAGCGGAUGCAAUAUCACGUGAGCUGGGUAACCAAUCAUACAACAGCAAUCGAAACGAGGGAUACUCAGUGUGACCCGUUUACAAACAGUUACUGUCUGCUGAAAGUAACUGGAUGAAACUUCCUGGGGAAUCCUCAGAAAUGAUGAAGCUGGUUGCAGAAACCAGGGCCGUCUCCUGAGCCAUUUGGAGCCCAAGAAAGGGACUCCUGUCAGGUGUGUAUCUACUCCACCAGGUCCCAGCCCAGGGCCCUAACAGUGGCAGAUGGUUCCACCACUGGGUCAGCGGAGAUCCCACCAAAACACACCAACUCGUUUUCUGGCAGCACAACCAGACUAAAGCCUGGUUUCCCUGGGCUACUUCCGUCUGGGAGCAGGGCUCCUUAGUCCAAGGGUCCACCAUCUCCUCAGGGUACACGGCUGGAGGCAGUCCUGGCAACUCCUCUUCGUGGACGGUCUCCUCCGGGGGCAGAGUGUUGCACAGUGCAAUUUUGGCUCCAGAGUUCUGCAGCAGGCUGGAGACAUCUACUUUCUUCACAGGCUCCAACUCGACUGAGCUGCAGGGCCUGCCUUUUAUACUUCUUGCCAUGCCCCUUUGCUUCGGCAUAGGCGGCGGGGCUGGUUUGGCUCCACCCACCAGGGGAAGUGGCGUGGUCCCUCUCCGUCAGGCUCAGAUGGAGGCCACUCUGCCUCACUACAAGAGGUCUUGUUUAAAAAAAAUAGCAUUUAUUUUAAAGUUGAAAGUGUAUUGAUUAAACAUAAGAAAUUAAAAGAGGUUUUUAUACUGAAAUAGAAUAAAAAUCAUUAAUAGGUUUGAAUGAAA